CUGAGCUGUGACAGUGAGGAGGCGGAACGCGUGUGCAGAGACAGGGAGAGCUGCUCUCUCCAUGGUGACCGCAGGAAGCAGAGCACAAGAACAAGACGCACUCUUCCGGUGGUGACCAGAAUCCACCUCGUCCUUCCAAGCCCCGCCUUCUGUCAGCCAUUGGGCUGUGAGCUCAGCAGCAGCCUCCAAUCACCUUGCAGAGCCCGCCUCUGAGCAUGCGCGCCUUCAUCCCAGUCAUAAUGCCCCCUAAUCCUUUGUGGAGAAGUCACGCGUGGGGGUCGUUAGGGCACUGCUGGGGCAGAAACUUCUGCUGUGACUGCUUUGCUGACAACAGGGGACAAAUGGAGAGCCUGAGAUACACAACAAGAUAUCUGGAGAGAGAGAGAGACAGAGACAGAGGGGGUUGGGGGAAAGGGAAAGGGAUGAGGGAAAAGAGUAGAAGGAAGGGAGGGAAUGUUUGAUUCUCUACAAGGAGCGUGGACUUGCACAGUGAGGACGUGUGUGUGUGUGUGUGUGUGUGAAAGAGAUAAGUAUAUCUUUUAACCUUAUUCUUCACUUUGCCUUCUGUGUGCAGUAGCUGCUAGAAACUACAGCCAGAGGGAAUGAUGUACCCCAAGGAAACACAGCAGAGGCCGUUUUAAUAAUUUUAAGGUCCUGAUGAUGACAGGAUAAAGAGAGGGGACCUCACAUCCCACCAGCCACUCCAGUGGAAAAAUCCAGCAAGGGAGAAGGGAAAUCAUUUGCUAAGCAGCCAGAAUAAAUCGACAAAUUGCCUGUGAGCCUUCCCCAGAUAGCGCCGUGUUGUCACCGUGAAUUGCAGUGAGCCACGUCAAGAACUGACGUACAUGGCCAUGGAGCGGAACCGAUGACCAUGGUGGAGAGAAUCGCAUUCCUGACGUGGACUGAUCACAGUCCAGACCCUGAGUUAUAGUUGUCAGAUACUACGUCCCAGCCACAGAAGAGUGACCAGUACACCACGUGUUACUCAAAGUGCAACAAAAGAAGGAGGCUUGAGGAAAUCCUCAGCACUCUCCAUCCCACUGAACAUGUGAGAAAAAGCACAAAGAUCCAUUGCUUGGCUUGGAGAACCAGCUGAGUUGUGAAUUUGCUGCCAGGGUGACUCGGGCUAGGGAUCAUCAGGCCUUCGAGGACACUUGGAACCAGGAGGACAGAGAGCCGUGCUCCUAAUCCAUUCCCUGGAGACAUGUGACUCAUUGGAAGCUGAAGUAGUAAGAAACAUCUGGGCCAGGAAUCUGAAUCAUCACAGGCAGAGAAGAAAGUCAUAAAGAUUUUACCGAUGAGUCAUCUGCUGACUGCUUCUCAUCCCAAGAAGAAAACUCAACGUACAGGAUAAAACUUCCAAAAAGAAAAUGAUGACAUAUUGAAGUGUUAAAAGGUGCCUACUUGAGCAGUCAAAUUGUUACCGGUAAGGUGUAACUACUUGAUGUACAGUUUCCACACCCUGCCCGGCCCCCCUGUAAACCACCUCAGCUUCUCCUUCUUCAGACAAGUCGGGGCACCGGCAGAGACGGUGCAACCUCUGGGACCAUCACUAGCACAACAGAGGUGGGUGUCCUGGGUCUGGGCCACCUACUCCAACAGAAGUGAGCUGAUCACGGCAGCUCAGUGGGCACCCCAUGGUCAAGGGCUGCAUCUCUAGGACUCGGUCCCCUCCCAGGGCUGCUUUUCAGGGAGCGUGGAACUCUCACUGCAGGUGGCAUGGUCUUGCUCCAGAGUCCCAUACACCUCCCUUAGGUCACCAUAAACUGACCUAGUUAACACCUCCAACAUCAAAGGGUGCAGUGGAUCAGUACCCACAAGCCUUGACCCCACUGUAUCCUAGACCUGUCACAGGGUCCUUUCCAACUCUGGUACCCACCCGAUGCUGACUGUCUUCUAUAUAACCGGGAAACGUGGGCUGGAGCAGCAUUCCCACCUAUAGUGGGUGUCACCUCCAGAGCCCACCUAGACCUACUAGGAAUCAGGCCUCCUUCAUGGUACAGGAACGCAAGAGGUGACGUUCCACCAAGUUCCUGACCACUGGGCCCUGAGAACUUCACCGAAGUGGCAAAUCCCUGAAACCUAUCAGCUUCACCUCCCGCACUCGGGGAGUGAUCUCGCGUCUUCCCAACCAUCACCCGAGAGAGAUUUGCCUUGGCUGGACAUCUAAAUACCUCGGGAGCUUCUGGAACGCUACUUAACUGAGUUCUGAGUCUGUUUCUCAGCUGUUCACUGUUCCACAGGAGACCAGAGCCUCCUUUUAAACUGCCAGAGAGUUCACCUGUUCCCUCCCUCAGAUCCUCGACCCCCUGCAGAGCGUCAACACAGCAGUCCCCUCAGCUGUCCCUCAGCUGUCCUCUGCUGCCCCUGCUCACCACACGCAAGUGAGUUCUGACUGCCACCCUGCCUGGGGGACCAUCAUUCCUCUCAGGGUGCAGCUCUCUUUGCCUUCCCCAGGCCCCAUCUUAGCACCCGAUUUGUCAGCUCACAUUUGGUGUCCACUGUGGCCACUCAGGCGCACCCAGAAGCAGAAGCUGAGCCAGGAUGGCCCGAGGAAGAUGGGAGGGGACACUCCAGGGAGAGACACGCAGCGGGGAGCGGGUCGGCGGGGGCUUCUGACCACAGCAAGAGCGGGCACCUGGACGCGAGGAGCAGGAAGUGUGCAAUCCCCAUUCAGACUGGCACUGCAGUGCUCCCAUUUCCAUGUCAUCUGCUCAUGAGUUAUUAGAAGAACUGGAAGUUGUAUGUAAAAGAGCCUCAUUCAGGCUCUGUAAAGAGUGAGUCUUUAGCAAUUGUUAGGCGUUCGUGGCAAAGAAUAGGGAAAUAAUAAAGCAGAGGCCCUCAGUGCUGUUCACAGAAAUGUGGGGCCCUUGCUUCCUGUGUAGACACUGGGCUACCCCGCUGCAUUUACAGCAGCCCCUAUUUCUGUAAAGUCAGGGUUAACCAGCCUGUAUUUUAAGUAGCAUAAGACAGAAAGCAGCAUGCACUUAUCUCCUGUAGACACAGCCCCAAAAUGCGUUCUGUUUUAUAACUGUCAUUACUAAGGUGCAUGUCUCCUACUCUUUCUUCUGAAGGAAGAAAAAUAGAGCUUGUAAAAGGAGGUUGGGUGAAGUCAACAUGGGCUGCUAUGUGCCCAGUACUACUGUAGACAUUUUACAAAUGCUUUUUCACUUUGUUCUCAAAAGUCUUGGGAGUAGGGAUUAUCAUCCACAUUUUACAGUGGGAAAUUUGGGGCUUCUAAAGGUUUAACAGCAUGUCCGCAGUAACCCGAUUCAUUAUCAGAAUUGAUCACUCAGUGAUUCUGGAAUCACAUAUAUUUCAUUUUUUAAGAACCUCAUCUGUAGACUAGUUUGUGAAUUAAAGAAUUCUUGAGUUGAAAUUUUAUUUACAACAUAAAAAUAAUUCUUUUUUCCUAUUAUAAACUUAAAGUCAUAGUUUUGUUCUGACCUUGUUAAUACCACAUUGCUCUAAAUAGUUGUUAAGAGAUCUAUUUCUCCCAUUGUUGAUGGCUUGAGGGUCGCUAUCAGGUCUAAUUCAUCUCAUCCCUCAUUAACGAGAGUAAGGCUGAAUGUUGUGUGUACUUACAGACGUUGAACCAAAUAAGAAAAUAAAAACAGCUCAGUUAAUUUUUCUGCUAAUUCUCCAGUUACUCUAAUAGACAAAUCAGAAUCCUAGACAGGAAAACAAUCAUUUUCUUGGUUUUAUGAGACUCACAUCAGAGUGGAAAGGUCUCUUAAAAGCCUUAAAAACUCUGUUGAGAACCCAAUCUUUUAAGUUUUUUUUCUUAGCAAAAACUAUGUGUAGUUUAAAGGAACUAACAAGGAAUCCUCACGUUAGGAUUUUCCCACUAUUCAGAGAAAUGACCAAUAAGAAGCAUCAGUGUAGAGCGCAGGUAAUUUGGAAAACAUCAUGGUGGGUGAGUUGGGAAAAAUGACCUUGACCAUGACCUUCAAAUUACAAGGAGGUGAGAGGACAGGCUUCAGAGCGGGAUCAGCCUCCUUAGUCGGAAUCCUGUUGGUGACACUGAGAUGUACGACCUUGGACACAUUACCUAAACUCUCUAACUAUGACUUCCUUGUGUGUGAAACAGAGAUAGUAAUAGUGUUGUUGUGAGAAUUCAAAGCAAGAGUGAAUGCAAAGCAGUUAGCCCAUG